CACGCGAUGAAAACCCGUUGAGCACCUUCUGUGAGUAAGGAAGGCCUGUUUUAGCAGAAACCGUUCAGCACUGAACCAAACCGACAAAGAUGUAGCUGGGACCCCACCCUUCAGCCCUGUGCUGAGAGUCCUGAAGCCGGCCUCUGGCCUGGGCCCUGCCACCGACGCCAGAUGGGGACCCCGAUGUCUGCCCUGUGGGCUGGAGCAGGCGGCGACUCUGUCCUGGCUGUGAGAUCUCCUCCACCGCCCCUGACUCCUACCCUGUCAGGCCCACCCCCAGUCUCUUAUCACCGCUGGAGGGGAAUCUGAGCAAUCCCCUACGGGGUGACAACCUGCAACUACAUGGCAUCGUGCACGUGGAUCCACUGCAGCAUGGAGCGGGGUCUGCAUCAGGAAAGACACUCCUCCUCUUCCCCCGGCCGCAGGUGGGCCUCACUGAGAGACCUGGAGAAUGGGUUUGCUGGGGAAGGCAGGCUUCGAAAGCCCCGGGUCAUUGCAGCUGCCUCCCAGCCCAGCUCUCUGCCAGCCUCCCCGUGGGACAUGUUAUAAACAUCAGAGUUGGAUGGGCCUUGGCCAGGCACGGUGGCUCACUCACGCCUGUAAUCCCAGCACUUUGGGCCACCGAGGCGGGUGAAUCACCUUAGGUCAG
rnacentral:lncRNA from 1 species